rnacentral:misc_RNA from 1 species
AAGUCGUAACAAGGUAACCGUAGGUGAACCUGCGGUUGGAUCAUUAACAAUGGGCUUUGCCUAUACACUAUGUGAACUGUAUUUGUAAUUGGUGUCUUUAUGGCACCGCUAUUUUAACUUGAAUUAAAUGAGUCUUGGAUUUAUUAUUAAUUGAAAAACAACUUUUGACAAUGGAUCUCUUGGCUCUC